GAAGCUCGCCAAGCAGCAGUCUUCGACUCCGACGACCACCAUCAGCAAGAUAGUCACAAUCUCUGUGAUCAUCAUCGUCUUCUUUGUCGUCUUCUUGGGUAUUGUGGCAUACAGGGCCACCUCACUUUCUUUCUGAACUCAUCUCUCUUUCCCUCUCUAUCUCUCUUAAUUGUGUUCGAUUUCUUGCUUAAAUUUCCGGCGUCAGCAUAAAUCACAAUCUCUGUGAUUUUUUGAAUUUUCCGGCCAGAAACUGCUUCGCCUCGCCUGAAUCCUCCAUAUCCGCCGCCUCUUGGUUUCUUUCUCGUUCUUUUUGGUUCUUUUUUUCUUUUUUUCAGUUUUUUUUUAUUAUUAUUUUUUGCGUCUGGAACAGGCCGGAGCAGCCAUGGAUUCCGAUGUAGAUCGCUUUCUUUGAUUUGGCGCCGAUGUGCAGCGUGGACGGUCCGGAUGGCAGGCAUUGACGCUGAUGUGGCGGUUAACCUUCAAGAGCAGCAACACACGACAUGUCGUUUGUGGGAAAAAUCUUUCUCUUUCAGUCGAUGGGAGUUUGAUCUCCGAGAGGGAAAUUCAGACUGAGAUUCGAUUAGAAUGGAGCCACGGCGACACCAGAGUCUGGGUUGCUUAUGCAUGUACACCUGAAGAAGUACAGCAGCAUUUCGAAUCAUAUCGCACAGUUAACAGGGUGACUAUGCUGACAGAUAAAUGUGGCCAACCAAAGGGUUUUGCUUAUGUGGAAUUCCCGGAAGCAGAAGCUGUUCAAGAGGCUCUCGCUCUGAAUGAAUCUGAGUUGCAUGGAAGGCCGUUGAAGGUUUUGCCUAAGAGUGUUCCCGGAUACAAGCAAUUCCGCUCUGGACGUAACAAUCCGUAUAUGGGUUACCACUUCAGGGGCCCUUAUGUACCCUCAUACUUCUAUUCGCGCAUGGAUAUGGGAACGUUCCAAGGUUCAGAAGGCCAGCAGGAUACAUGUCCUACUGUUAGAAGACUCCUAAUUAUGUAACUACUAGAAAACUUCACAUCUUGUUGAUGGGCACAUCAUCCAGUAUUAGACCAUUAUAUUGGUUUUUUUCUUCACCUGGUAGUUCUAAACAGGAGUUUAUUGUAGCACAUCAUCCAGUAUUAGACCAUUAUAUUGCUCCUACAUUAUAUACAUAGAUAUUUGAGUGUACUUCAUCUGAGCUAGUUCUUUAUAGGAAGCUCCCCUACCACAAUCGGUGAUUGCCAUGUCCAGGAACAUCACAUGAUGCGCCACUCCGGCAUGAUGCAUUCCUUGGUA